CCCUUAGAUGUUCUGGGCCGCACGCGCGCUACACUGAUGAAUUCAACGAGCACUAACCUGUGCCGAAAGGUUCGGGUAAUCUUGUGAAAUUUCAUCGUGAUGGGGAUUGAUUAUUGCAAUUUUUAAUCAUAAACGAGGAAUGCCUAGUAAGCGCGAGUCAUAAGCUCGCGUUGAUUACGUCCCUGCCCUUUGUACACACCGCCCGUCGCUACUACCGAUUGAACGGUUUAGUGAGGGCCUCGGAUUGGUCUCGGCCCGCUCUUUACCGGGCGGCGCCGUUGGUCGAGAAGACGCUCGAACUUGAUCGUUUAGAGGAAGUAAAAGUCGUAACA
rnacentral:rRNA from 1 species